rnacentral:rRNA from 1 species
UACGUAGGGUGCAAGCGUUGCCCGGAUUUAUUGGGCGUAAAGGGCGCGUAGGCGGCUCUGCACGUUCGUUGUGAAAUCGCCCGGCUCAACUGGGCGGGGUCAGCGGAUACGGCAGAGCUUGAGCAAGCUAGGGGGCAAUGGAAUUCCGCGUGUAGCAGUGAAAUGCGUAGAUAUGCGGAGGAACACCGAUGGCGAAGGCAAUCCCCUGGGCCUGCACUGACGCUCAUGCACGAAAGCGUGGGGAGCAAACAGG